ACCUUAUCGUGAGCCGAGGCACCAAGUCUCGUCAUAUCUCUAAGUAAUCGAAGUGUUUUAACUUUGAGAAGUUAAGCCAAGUUUAAGGUCAAGCAACAUGUCAUCCAUAGUUGAGAUCGAGAAGUCGAGAACACAUCCGCAUCUCAUCAACAUCGAGUUUCCCUUCCUCUACUGCCGGAUCUUCGACAGGCCCUACCACCAACAUGUUGUUCACCUGCGCUGCUAGUGCAUGUGCUCGUGUCUAGAUUUUGACCAUUCCGCUAUCUCGUGAUGGAAUCAUUGUACUACCUCCAGGCUUCGAAAAUUGAGAUUACUCUCCGUUCAAAAACAUCCAGUUUCCCUUACCGUUGAUGAAUGAUGAUUGAUCUACCAAUUUUCAAAAAAUAAAA